UUUGCGUCUGCUCUCUAUGGUGAAUGAAUACUGUUUGCCACCAGUUAUGAUAGUGGCGCCCACACUGCACUUCCAGCUGCACGUGCCCUUCCCCUGCUCCGGAGAAGCCCAGAUCGCUCACGACACAUUGUGCCCGGACGCAGAGCCCAGGAAAGGAGGCGUCAGCAAGACAUUGAGCAUCACAGACAACGUUCUCCAUGUACACUGGCAAGCAGAUGAAGCCCGCAUCCUCCGAGUGUCCGUCAGCUCUUUCCUGGAGCACCUCUCACUUGUGGUCCAGACAAUGGACAGAUUCGGCCCUGCAGUGUCCGACUCCUGGCGCCCUAUACAGGCACCUUGCUGCGCUGAUGACGAGUCCUUCUGUUGGUUGACAUCCUGCAAAGUACAGCAGCCUGCUGAGAUGUAACGCCAUUGUCAGCACCUAGUAGCACAGAGACUCUUUCUUGUCUCGUUCCAUUUAACCAAAUCUCUGACUGUUUACCACUGUUUCUCUGACGUCCUAGUGGAUG